UUCCUGAAAAAUCAAACGGUGACACCAAGUCGGCAGUGACCUGAAAAGAAGAAACGAUGCCAUGUCAUUUAGAGAAGGAAGAAAUAAUAUUCCCCAGUGACACCCCUGGUGGGAGGCAGAACUUUACCUCCCUGCAUCUCAAAUGAAGCAUCACAGCAGCAGCACUGACUGUGCUUCCGUGUUUCCAGAGUGACUUUUCAUUAACCUUAUUUUAUUUGCUGUAGCUGCAAACAUGCUUUCAAGGGUAGGAGCAGGGGCUGUCCCGCUGGGAGGAUUUGCAGGAUGAAAUGCAAGCCCAGGACAUCCCACCUGGAUCCUCUAGCUGUGACAUUGCUGCAGAAGGAGGGAUGUGUCCAGGGGUCUGUGCUGCUGCAUGCCAAUGACUGCCCAAUUUCUGCCCUUCCAGCACCUCUUCUUAUUCAAUCUGAACGUGUGGGUGAGCAGCACACCCAUCCCAGGGCUCUGUUCCAGCUGAGGCUGUUUCCUGCUGCAGGCUGUGUGGGUUCAGCAGCACGCUGCUCCAGGAAAGCAGUUCUGUACAAGCAGCAACACACAGGCUUGCACUGCCAGCGUUUGCAAACAGCUGAUCUAGAGAGAUUGCUUUUUUUUUAUUUAUUUCUUUGUGCUUUUGACCUUAUUUGUUGAAAAUGAAACAUCAUGUAACCUUCCAGGAAAUGCCACGAAUCUUCGAUCUGACAUGAGAACAUAAAUCUCCAGUGCGUGUGCAUCAGUUCCGGUCAGGUUUUCAGGUCUUAGCUAGAUCAGAGUGCAGUGGGAGCAUCCCAUAUUGGGGCCAGCAGGACCUAAGUUCCUCACCUGUCCUUGGAACAGCAGUCCCAUGGCAUUGGUUGUUGCCUGUGGACCAGGCUGGUUUCCCACCCGUUCUUUGUAGAAAGAAUGGGAUUUCUUGCACCUGAAUUGAAGUGUGAAAUUUUAAGGGGACGGGUGCAGCUCCUCCCUCCCAGCUCCGGCUGAAAGCAAGCACUGCCUCACAGCUCUGAGCAGCCCCCACUCCAACAGCCAUCUCGGGGAGCAGAAGGUUCUCGUGCUGUUGGGAACUGAGGCUCUGCAGCCCCGACCACACAGAGAGGACGGGAAACCGCAAUGCCUGCGGUUUCCCGUCCGGUCCAUGCAAGCUGUUCAGUGCACGGGGCCUGAAUGGCAGUGAGGGUUAUUUGAAGGUCAGAAGUUGCUCGUGUGAAGAUGCAGCCCCGCUGCACGGCUUUUUGGCACCUGCUCAGUGACAGCACUGUUUUGCUGGAGCCGUGCAUGCCUCCAUCCCAAGCUGCCAGUGUUCUGUGGGGACACAUCCAGAGGUGUGCAGGGCUUUCCUUUGUGCCUUAUACCCAGAGCAGGGAAGCCCUACACCCCACCAGGCCCAGGGAACAACUCAGAGGUCUCUUUGCAUUUUAAUGCCUUUUCCUCUCUAUUGAGGUCUGUGACAUUCCUACAGGUUAACAGAACCCACAGUGAGAACAGUACCAUGCGCCCACCCCCCACAUACCUCUCCCUGCUAAAAGCAACAGAAACCUGCAUUUUUAUUCGCUUAUUUUAAUAGGACGACCUUUCCUUGUUUCUCCACUAGAUGGGAGAGUGAGACUGGUCUAACAAUGUGCCCGUCUUUAUCCUGACAGGAAUACAGGGGGGAGACGAGGAAUGGGGAAUGCACUCAAGUCAGUUCUCGGGUGUGAGGACACCUCCUGCACUUUCUCUGCCCUUGGAAAUGGUGUGGAUAACCCCAAAAAUGCAUGCUGAGCCGUGUUAUGAGCUAACCCCAAAAGUGCACGGCUGUGGAGACCGGUGCUUGCUGGGGGAUUCCCUCAGUGCCAACUCCUCUGCCCUCAUGCGAGGAGGAAUCAGGUACACAAAGAUUAGAUCACAGAAUGACAGGGUCAUUUUGGUUGGAAAAGAGCUCCAAGAUCCCCGAGUCCAACCCCAGCCCACCCCACUGUGCCCACUGCUCACAUCCCUCAGUGCCACAUCUCCACAGCUCUGGGACACCUGCAGGGACGGUGACCCCACCUCCCCCUGUGCAGCUGUGCCACUGCAUCUUUCAGAGAACGUAUUUUUCCUAAUAUCCAACCUGAAUCUCCCCGGUGCAACUGAAGAUGUAUUCUUGGGGUGAGACACUUCGUGGCCAUCCACAUCCUGGAGAAUCAGUUGACUCCCCCGUCCCCAGCAUUGCUUUGGGAGAAAAAGAAUCACACCCCAUUUUCACCUCCUUCUCUCCAAUGCCUUUCUCGUGCAGGAUCAUUGCAUCAUAAUGCUCACGGCUGUAACGCUUCUUUCCGCAAAGAUUAAAAAUGUGCUGAUGCAACAGCUGCACUUGCAGGAGGGGAAUUUGUGGCCCCGUCUGACACCGGCAGCUGCACACAGAGGAUGCCCCGUGGCACUCAUGCUUUGCUGAAUUUACUUUCACUGCAGCGCUUCCCAUCCCCUGAGGCAUUGCCUGAGCUUUCACUGGAACUGAGUGCGUUGGGGAAUUAAACAGCAGCAGAAACACUGUCUCAACCAAACCAAAAAAUUGCCCCAUUUGCCUAUAUUUUGUUAUUGAGAGGUUUGGGGUUUUUAAGACUAAGCAUGACUUCUUCCUUUUGGGAUGUCACGGGUCCUGGAAGAAAACUUCUCACAGCCAAUUUUUCUGACUGCGACAGAAUAGGCAAAUACUGCAGCUCUGGGGGGUUUUGCUGUCUGCCCAACCUCCUUAAUUUGCAAUCUUUGUAAAGAAGUGACUCAACUGAUUUGUUUGACGCUGGGUACACUUGUGCCCUUCAAUGAAGUAAUCCUGACAUCCCUUUGUAACUGUGCCCUCGUUGUCUUCUUUGGGGUUUCCCAACUGCCAUUACUCAGCCAGAGAGAGGUAACAGCCUCUUUGGAAGAGGAAGUUGGGUUUCACUAGAUGUAAUUCUUCUGUUUUCCAUAAGCAAGUCACCCCACCCUAUGUGGGCAACAACACUGUAUCACUCAGCACAGAGCCGUGUCCCACCCAGGCACCACCAUGAGAGCGAUCGGUUUUCCCAAGAAGGGAGGAGACUUCUUUCAUUGGCUGUAAUUACAGAUGGAAAAAUGCUGCGUAGAAGCAACACAGUGGUAGAAAAUGCAGCUCUGGCAGAACCAGGGCAUGCUCAGUGGGGCAGCAUCUGGCUGCCAGGUAGGGGCAGUGCAGGGACACAGGGAUGGGGAUGGAUGUACCGUGGGAUGUCUCAAAGGGAUGGGGAUUUGUAUGUUUGCUUCUGCCCUUGGGCAGCAGUCUGCUUCUUCCCAUGCCCCUCAUUCACAAAGUUUUGGGUGAGCAAAUGGGAAAAUGAAAGCCCAAGUGCACAGAGCCACUGCCACGACUCUGUUCUGCUUUUCUGUGCUCCAGCACUGCCAUCCCCUUCCUAUCAUCUCCCUUUACCACCCUGGAAGGGAAUUAAAACCAGAAAAGGCACUAACUGGGGAGAUGAGCUGUGAAGAGCCUGGUGGAGUGGUGCAGCCUUGUGAUGGGCACAUGGGACCUGCAGGACAAGGACACUGCUGGGACCCACAUCUUCCUCUGCUGACUGCAGGAGGUGCUGCAGCUUGCCGCCUUCUGACAGCACGCCAAGUGCAAAUGAGCAUCUCGUUCUUCAGGGAUGAGAUGUUGAGCUGAUUAAGUUUCUCUUUAAUUAUAAGGAGGAAAUGGCACGUGCAAGGACGGCUUCUGCUGCCAAGUUAGAGAUGCUCCUGGGUGUAUCGUGCUUUCCUUCCUGGUGCAUGGGGCUCAGCUGUAGGGUUGGGAAGGGAGAGAAAAUGGCUUGGGACAUAUUCAGAGCUAUGGCUGAUGGGGCAUUCUGUGGAAUGCUCAGCAACCUGUGAUAAGUAGGGUAUAGUCCAGGGCAGGGAACUGGCAUGCUUGGCAUUUACUACACUCAUAAAUGACUCCAGCAGCAGCAGAAAGGGUACAAACUUCACCCUUGCAAAGCAUCAGCACUGAGGCCAUGGUGGGGAGCAGACGAGCAAAGUGCCAGGAAACGUGUUGCUGCAGGUUGCACCCUGAGAGCUUUGGUAGCUGGCUGUUAGCACUGCAGCAUCUGCAUCGUGAUGGUGACUAAGGGUAGUUCUGUGGACUGGAAAAAGGGGCGGAGGGGUUUCCAUUCCCCAGGGGUGCACAGAGCUCCCAGCCAAGUGCUGCCUAUGUUGGGAUGCAUGUAGGAUGUAGGAUGCUUCGUGGAUCUGGGACCUCUCCAUAGGGGCACUGGGCAAAGGGUGACAGGGAGCACAGGGCACAGAUUAAUGACAAAUAGUGGUGAGCACCUGUCCCAGCACAACAGGAUCCCUGCACAGCAGAACUGUACCAUCAUAUGAUGCUUGCUUGGAUCCUGACCCACUCAGCCUCACAGGUGCUCUCAGUUACAAGAUAAGAGGCAGUCUCUCCUUUGGACCUUAAUCCUGCAAGAUCUAUAAGGAUGAACUUUGAAAUUCAAAUAGCUGGCAGGAUUUCACUUAAUCUGAGAUGGCAAAAUCACCAGCCAUGUGAUUUCUCCUUGGGGUUUACUGUGGCAGCAUUUCUCCAAAGUUCAAAGUCUGCAGACAACAUGUGACGUGCUUCGCAGCCAUACUAUAGUUUUGGUGCAACGAACAACUACAGAAAUCAAUUUCUAGAGCAAUAUUUUCUAUGCUAGUAAUCUCUGAACUAAUUACAGGAUGGGAAAAUCGAUAGCUAUCUGGAAAUCUUUCCAGUGCAGCCAACCAAGCACGCUGCACAUCACGCUGGAAUAUAAUCUUCACAUACACGUGAGGCUGAUGGCUCCUGGAUCUUAUGUGCAGACGAUGUCACUGUCACUAAGAGUCUGUACUGUGUCACACUAUAACGUUUAGCAAAACCUGCAGGGGGAAUUGGGCAGAGCAAAUAGCGCUGAGCAGCAUUCAGCGCCAGCUCUUUAAGCCAGCAACAAAAAGAGCUGGAAGUCUCGGUUAGUUUAACAGGGAUCUUUCUUUGAAAAGAUUAUGAAAUGGAGUCGUUAAAAGUUCAUGCCUGAGGUAGAAUGUUUUUUCACCAGACUUUAUUAUUUUAAAGCAUGUAAAACCUUUAGUGACUGAAAAUAACCUUUCUCUGGUCUCCCACGUGGAGAGAAGCAGGGUCAGUGGGAGGUUCAGUGGGGCAAUCUCCCUUCAAAAAUAAAUGAACAAAGAGGAGGGGUGUUGCUCUGAUGAGAAGAUCUUGCCUGGCUGUACAAACACAUGUGCUGAUCGUGGCACACGACUGCCAGCCAGAGCCCAAACCUCACAAAGGCUGUGAUGGGGUGGAAUGCGAUGGGAUGGGAUGCGAGAUGCUGCACCCCCACUCCUAACCUGUGGGGGCUCAAUGGGCUCUUCCUUGGAACGAUGGCAUUCACGCUGUCACCACACGGAGAGCAAAUAUUCCCAUCAGACACAGUGCCAAAAACCCAGCAGGUGGGUAGGAAGCAAAGCCCGCAGUGCAGUUGACUUUCCUAUGCUCCUGUUUGCACUGCAGUGCUCCGCAACACAGCAAUGAAUUCUGAGCUGUCACACAACCAUGAAAUAUUAGCUAUCAUGUUAUAUGUUUUUCUUUGAUUAUUCUCCAUAACUUUUUCCCUCCGUGAAUGGAGUCGUGGAAAAGCAGGACCAGAUGGACCCUUGCCUUGCUGGGGCAUUCCUGCAGCUCCACUGCAGUGGGACCUUCAUUUGGAGCAGAGCUCCAGAUCCAGCGUCUGCAGGAGGUGGACAAGGCAGCGGUGUCUGCACAUCACCUGAUGGAAGCAACCCGGCAAGAGGGAGCUCAGCUCCUCCAGAAAUGUUUCAAGAAAUAGUGAGGGAGAAGUCACAGCUUUCCCUCUCUUGCUGUUAACACGGCACACUUUGUGCGUGCACAGCAGUGGGGCUCCUGCUGCCAUUUCCUGGCAAUGCAGAGCUGCAGCCAGCACUGCAGGGCUGGCAGGGCCAGCAGAGGCUGUGGCACAACGCGGUGAGGGCAGGACGUGCAGCACAGCAGUCACUCCACCCUCAGUGUUCCCUUGUCCCUGGUAAACCGUGGAUCAGGGCCAUCCUCAACAGGAGGUUUGCACUGAGAUUAUCGGGUUUAACAGCUGCCCAGGCAAAUGCCAUUCAGGAAUUUGUCUAAUCCCUCUUUGAACACGGUUAUGCUUUCGGGCUCCACAAUGCCCUCUGGCAACGGUUGCCGCUAUUAAUAAGGAGCUGGGAAGAGAUUGCUUCCAGCCUCCUACCUGAUCCUUUCAUUUAAGGGAUCCAUUACUCUCACGAGGAUAAAUAAAGCUGGCAAAGCCCCACGGGACGGAGACCAAUGGAGACUGCUGCUUUCUGGUGUGACACCAGCAGUGUCUCACAGAAGUACAGCAACACAAAGACCGGCAAACAUCCCAGGGGAGGAUUUCAGAGGUGCAUUUUCUACUGCCAGCACUUGAAAAAUAAAGCCAUCUUUAUUGGCUAUUUUUUAUACGUUUCCUGUGAACGACUUUCUGGCACAAAUUAUAUGGAGUUAUAAUAGAACUCCAAGGAGUACCUUUCAGAAAAAAAAGAUCCAGUUCUGUACUUCCUUCCUGGAGAUUCGUUGCCUGUUCCGCAGCAGGAGACGUGAAUCAUGGAAGUAUUUAUAGCAGCAAUAUUAGGAAGUGAUCAUUAAGGCACCAGAAAGCUGUGUUAGGCAGUACGUCUUUAAAUAAACUGCUCAUGGCUGUGUUAACUCAAUUGUGUAAGUGCAUGCACACUUAACCUUAUUAAAAACGAACCUGUUCCCAGAACUGGACUUUUCCUGAUGAAUGUACCACAAUUCCCCAUCUUCCCCAGGCAGUUUUGUGGGUCUCUGAAAUAUGAGGACGGUUUCAUUUGAUUGGCAUUAAUAAGGUUUAUGUCUGCACAGAUUUAGGCCAAAGAUUGUCGUGAUCAUCCCAAGUCCCACCUGACUCACAGGACUGAAUCUAAAGAGACAUCUCCCGGCAGUUUCAGUCAAUGGAGCGAUUCCAGCUCAGAGUGCGCCCUGGUGAACCAACUUCCCUCCUGCAGCACUGCAUUUGCAUUCAUUAAGCCCAGAGUUUUAAUGAUUUCAGUAGAUUGAUCGAGGAGAGCAGCCCAAGAAUAUGUGUCUGAACGCCUCCCGCAGAGGUACAAGGCAGCGUAAAUCCAUCCUGGUGUGAAAUGCAAAGUGAGCAGACAGCUCACACACACAGUCAUUGCACGGAUAUCUGCAAGUGUCAGCAUGACCCAUAAAGCCAGGGCUUUCAAUGAGCCAAAAUGAUCAGAGCUCCUCAAACACAAGGAAUAGUAACCCAUAUGGUAGUAAGGAUAUAACGAUGAUGGUGUUAGUUAAUGCCAUUGUCACCUGGAGGUGAGAGGAUCAGCAGGGCUGGCAGACUGGCUUGCUGUGCCACUGCUGGGCACCUCCCAAAGAUUUCUGUAGGACAAAGAUUUCUUCGAGGUUACCACUGUCCUUCCUUGCCAGACCCUGUUCCUCAGACACGUUAUCAAAGCCACUAUUGGCGCAAGCAAAUCCAUAGCUUUGCAUCUCCAUCACCUGAAAGGUAAAACGUAUGGAGCUGUUGUAUGAAAAAUAGCCUGGAGUUGAGCUCUGCACCUCUGAGGACAGCCCUAGCAGAGGUGGAAGGACAGGGACACACGGCCGGCCAAGCACAGCUUGGUGACGGGGCAGAGCAGGAAGUGUGGGGGGAGGUUCUCCAGCUGUGGUGCUUUUGAUGCACUGCUUCACCUUCACACAUCUGCUGUCCUUUCCAUUCUGUUUAAUUAAAAUAUUAACGGUUUGCAGCAGGGCCAGGUUCGUCAGUGAUGUGCAGCACCAGCCAAAGCAGUGCCCCAAUUUCAAUGCACAGCUUAUGAAACUAUUCAUGUUUAAUAAAUACUAACAGAGUGUGGCCACGGAGGAAACACUUCCUGUUUUUCUUGACCACAGCACAUCACAAGCAGCGGUUCUCCUACCUUUAAUGUUGCAUUAAAAGCUUAUUCAGCAGCUCCCAACUUAGCCCAUUCAGUGAAAGCAAAACCUGCCAGAAGCCCCAGCACCUGCAAUCCACUGAGCACAGUGAGGGGAGGGUGUAAAGGCAGCAGCUUCCAGCUCCAUGCAGAGCUGCUGCUUCAGAGGGUGAUGGGAGGCAGCCCCUACCUCCUGGCCUUGCCUUUCCCUUGCUCUCCUUGCUGUGUGCAGCACCAGAUGAGGCUUUCCAUUACCCAGCCUGUCCCAUGCACUUCGGAUGAUGGAGAACUGAUUGUGCUUUGGAGAACUAAACACACAGUGCCUGAAUUAUUUAUCUUUAACAUGAAGAAACAGGCCAAAUUCCCAAGUGAUAUGGAAUGACCCUGAUAAUGAACAUGG
ensembl:lncRNA